CGUCCAGACUCCUACGGGAGGCAGCAGUGGGGAAUAUUGCACAAUGGGGGAAACCCUGAUGCAGCGACGCCGCGUGAGUGAAGAAGUAUUUCGGUAUGUAAAGCUCUAUCAGCAGGGAAGAAAAUGACGGUACCUGAUUAAGAAGCCCCGGCUAACUACGUGCCAGCAGCCGCGGUAAUACGUAGGGGGCAAGCGUUAUCCGGAUUUACUGGGUGUAAAGGGAGCGUAGACGGCAGCACAAGUCUGGAGUGAAAUGCCGGGGCCCAACCCCUGGACUGCUCUGGAAACUGUUGUACUUGAGUGCAGGAGAGGUAAGUGGAAUUCCUAGUGUAGCGGUGAAAUGCGUAGAUAUUAGGAGGAACACCAGUGGCGAAGGCGGCUUACCGGACUGUAACUGACGUUGAGGCUCGAAAGCGUGGGGAGCAAACAGGAUUAGAUACCCCGGUAU
rnacentral:rRNA from 1 species